AUUGAACGCUGGCGGCAUGCCUUACACAUGCAAGUCGAACGGCAGCACGGGAGCAAUCCUGGUGGCGAGUGGCGAACGGGUGAGUAAUAUAUCGGAACGUGCCCAGUCGUGGGGAUAACGUAGCGAAAGCUACGCUAAUACCGCAUACGUCCUACGGGAGAAAGCGGGGGGAUCUUCGGACCUCGCGCCAUUAGAUGAGCCUAGGUCGGAUUAGCUAGUUGGUGAGGUAAUGGCUCACCAAGGCGACGAUCCGUAACUGGUCUGAGAGGAUGAUCAGUCACACUGGAACUGAGACACGGUCCAGACUCCUACGGGAGGCAGCAGUGGGGAAUAUUGGACAAUGGGCGAAAGCCUGAUCCAGCCAUGCCGCGUGUGUGAAGAAGGUCUUCGGAUUGUAAAGCACUUUAAGUUUAGGGAGGAAGGGUAGGUAACCUAAUACGUUGCUACUUUGACGUUACCGACAGAAUAAG
rnacentral:rRNA from 1 species